rnacentral:rRNA from 1 species
UACGAAGGGUGCAAGCGUUACUCGGAAUUACUGGGCGUAAAGCGUGCGUAGGUGGUGAGUUAAGUCUGAUGUGAAAUCCCCCGGGCUCAACCUGGGAAUGGCAUUGGAUACUGGCUCGCUCGAGUGCGGUAGAGGGUGGUGGAAUUCCCGGUGUAGCAGUGAAAUGCGUAGAGACCCGGAGGAACACCGGUGGCGAAGGCGGCUUCCUGGUCUGCAACUGACGCUGUGGCGCGAAAGCUAGGGGACCAAACGGG